rnacentral:misc_RNA from 1 species
CAACGUGGAAUCAGCUUACGCAAAAAGCCACUUUAAAAACGUUUUAAAGUAUAAGCUUUAUCAACGUUAAAAACAAACCGCUUCUUAAACUUUACAUUUUCAACUUUGCUAUAAUUAUUGCAAUAAUAACAAGCGUUGCAAUAAUAACAAGCUAUAAAUUUUAACGUAUCUUAUCUUCUCAAAAAAACGCGUUUAUUCAACAUUGAAUAAAAGUACGAAAAUAAUCACAGUAAAAACGUCGAAAAGUUUAUGGUUUAUCAACGACAUUAGCUGACAAUUUAGAUUAUUUAGACAUUAGCUACUUUUUAAAGAAUUUAAGCUAUUUAUAAAACAACGCUAAUUCAACGUUACAUAUACCAACGUUGAAAAUGUGGUAAUUAAAAAACGUUGAAAAAGUGUUAUUUGCCAACGUUAAUGAAACGUCGUUUUGACAAUGUUGAGGAAGUGACAUAUUGAAAAUUAUUGUCUCAAAAACUAGCCAUUACAAAAAAUAAUUUGCGUAAUGGAAAGGCAAAGAAAACUUAAUAGAAUGCAUGCAUAUGGUUUGAAGCAGAGGCAGUUGUUCCAGCUUGUUCGGUAAAAGAUGGAUGGUUAUUUUGGCCAACUGGUGUUCAUGCAAUGAAAGCUACCUAUAAUAAUUCUCCAAUCAAUGAUUCCUGCAACAAGCUAAGACUUAAAAGUGUUAAAGUAACUGGAGAUAAAGAAGUAUGUGAAGGAUUGAAUUUCAUGACUGCAGAGGAUUUCAAAGAAGAAUUAAAAUUCUGGUGGAUCAAAGAUUGAGGAAUGAUAUGGUUUUAACUGGUUUCCAUCUUAUGAAAGAAGUACAUAAUAUGAUUUAAAUUGAUGAUUUAAAGUUGCACCUAUUAAAAUUUUGCAUCUCAAUGAUAUCCUGGCUUAUCGAUACGAUAUCCUGUAAGUCCACUAACACACAUAAAUCCUGUAAAUCCACUCACACACAUAAAUCUUAAAAAAGAUAUUUAUAUUUUUAUCUAUAAAUUGUAUAUUUUGUAUAAAUAAAUUGUAUACUUUUUAUAUUUUUCAUUGUAUGUUACUAUUUGUAUUAAAAAUC